CAGGCUUAACACAUGCAAGUCGAGGGGCAUCAGGAAGAAAGCUUGCUUUCUUUGCUGGCGACCGGCGCACGGGUGAGUAACACGUAUCCAACCCGCCCUUUACUCGGGGAUAGCCUUUCGAAAGAAAGAUUAAUACCCGAUGGCAUAAUGAUUCCGCAUGGUUUCAUUAUUAAAGGAUUCCGGUAAAGGAUGGGGAUGCGUUCCAUUAGGUUGUUGGUGAGGUAACGGCCCACCAAGCCUUCGAUGGAUAGGGGUUCUGAGAGGAAGGUCCCCCACAUUGGAACUGAGACACGGUCCAAACUCCUACGGGAGGCAGCAGUGAGGAAUAUUGGUCAAUGGGCGGUAGCCUGAACCAGCCAAGUAGCGUGAAGGAUGAAGGCUCUAUGGGUCGUAAACUUCUUUUAUAUAAGAAUAAAGUGCAGUAUGUAUACUGUUUUGUAUGUAUUAUAUGAAUAAGGAUCGGCUAACUCCGUGCCAGCAGCCGCGGUAAUACGGAGGAUCCGAGCGUUAUCCGGAUUUAUUGGGUUUAAAGGGAGCGUAGGUGGACUGGUAAGUCAGUUGUGAAAGUUUGCGGCUCAACCGUAAAAUUGCAGUUGAUACUGUCAGUCUUGAGUACAGUAGAGGUGGGCGGAAUUCGUGGUGUAGCGGUGAAAUGCUUAGAUAUCACGAAGAACUCCGAUUGCGAAGGCAGCUCACUGGACUGCAACUGACACUGAUGCUCGAAAGUGUGGGUAUCAAACAGGAUUAGAUACCCUGGUAGUCCACACAGUAAACGAUGAAUACUCGCUGUUUGCGAUAUACAGUAAGCGGCCAAGCGAAAGCAUUAAGUAUUCCACCUGGGGAGUACGCCGGCAACGGUGAAACUCAAAGGAAUUGACGGGGGCCCGCACAAGCGGAGGAACAUGUGGUUUAAUUCGAUGAUACGCGAGGAACCUUACCCGGGCUUAAAUUGCAGUGGAAUGAUGUGGAAACAUGUCAGUGAGCAAUCACCGCUGUGAAGGUGCUGCAUGGUUGUCGUCAGCUCGUGCCGUGAGGUGUCGGCUUAAGUGCCAUAACGAGCGCAACCCUUAUCUUCAGUUACUAACAGGUCAUGCUGAGGACUCUGGAGAGACUGCCGUCGUAAGAUGUGAGGAAGGUGGGGAUGACGUCAAAUCAGCACGGCCCUUACGUCCGGGGCUACACACGUGUUACAAUGGGGGGUACAGAAGGCAGCUAGCGGGUGACCGUAUGCUAAUCCCAAAAGCCUCUCUCAGUUCGGAUCGAAGUCUGCAACCCGACUUCGUGAAGCUGGAUUCGCUAGUAAUCGCGCAUCAGCCACGGCGCGGUGAAUACGUUCCCGGGCCUUGUACACACCGCCCGUCAAGCCAUGGGAGCCGGGGGUACCUGAAGUACGUAACCGCAAGGAUCGUCCUAGGGUAAAACUGGUGACUGGGGCUAAG
rnacentral:rRNA from 1 species